rnacentral:lncRNA from 1 species
GUGGCCAUUAUUAAAAAGAGAGGGCUAAGUCAAUGAAAGUGGAGGGGGGGGAGUUAGUGGAGCUUGCCAAAGCAUGUAUGUUUCAUAGAAUAGAAUAGAAUAAUGGGAUUUGUCAAUGCCAUGCACAUGGAAGGCUACCAAAGAAGGAAGUGGCUCCAUCUCUUGUCCACUCUCCCACUCCCACCUUUCUAUCUAUACUCUCUCUCUUGGGGCACUCAAACCAAACCAAGCCAAAAAAUUAAAAUUAAAUUAAAAUAAAACCCCUCUUCCAAUGCAUUAUUCAUCCAUCCAUCCAUCCAUCCACUCUUCCCUUUUCAUCCAUUGGCUUACAAUUCGGAGACCAAAGCAUCCGCCAUAUGUCCAACCAACUACAUUCUCCAAGACGCGGGAAUGAAUGAGAAGAGGUGCUUUCCUCCAUGACUCCCGCACCACUACCACUCCUUUGUUGCCCCCCC